rnacentral:rRNA from 1 species
AGCAGUAGCCGCGGUAAUACGUAGGUGGCAAGCGUUGUCCGGAAUUAUUGGGCGUAAAGGGUGCGUAGGCGGUUCAGCAAGUCUCGUGUGAAAUCUUCGGGCUCAACCCGAAGUCUGCACGGGAAACUACUGGGCUUGAGUAAUGGAGAGGUGAGUGGAAUUUCCGGUGUAGCGGUGAAAUGCGUAGAUAUCGGAAGGAACACCUGUGGCGAAAGCGGCUCACUGGACAUUUACUGACGCUGAUGCACGAAAGCUAGGGGAGCAAACAGGAUUAGAUACCCCCGUAGUCCCUGUCUCUUAUAC